rnacentral:rRNA from 1 species
GACGGAGGAUGCAAGCGUUAUCCGGAAUGAUUGGGCGUAAAGCGUCCGCAGGUGGCAGUUCAAGUCUGCUGUCAAAGACCGGGGCUUAACUUCGGAAAGGCAGUGGAAACUGAACAGCUAGAGUAUGGUAGGGGCAGAGGGAAUUCCUGGUGUAGCGGUGAAAUGCGUAGAGAUCCGGAAGAACACCGGUGGCGAAGGCGGCCCGCUGGGCAGUGGCUGACGCUGAGGCGCGACAGCGUGGGGAGCAAACAGG